GCAUUAUGGAGGCAGUAAACAGUUUUGAGCUGUUAGUGUCGAAUUGGCCGGGGUGAAAUUUACAAAUAAGAGGCAAUUUACGGAAUGAAGUGCAUAUUUGAACUUCUAAAUAAUAAUAAUUGCUAGAAUUGAAGUUUCAGCGGCUAGAAUUGAGUUUCACUUAUUUAAAGAAAAUCAGUUGAGUAGCCUUGAUCUUGAUAGUAUGACGUAAUGACUUGCAGGAGCGUAUACAUGCUUCCUCUGAGCUAGCUGAAAGUGGGGUUGUCAUUUUAGCAGGUGCCUCAGGAAAAGUGGAAUAGUGAAAAAACGGUGUGUGGUUACAGACUUUUGUGUGAGGUUUUGAAAGUUAGGUUGGCGACUCUAGGCCGAGAAGCUCAGAAAACUGUUUACUGCCUCCUUAAGAGCAAAUCUUGAAAAUUUGUGUGUGGUUACAGACUUUUGUGUGAGGUUUUGAAAGUUAGGUUGGCGACUCUAGGCCGAGAAGCUCAGAAAACUGUUUACUGCCUCCUAUAGAUUUCUGCACUAACAGUUUAAAAAAGUCUCAAAUCAAGGAAUAUUGCAUUUGGAAUG